CCCAAUUCGAUUUUAUUAAUGGCUCCUAAUUCUCUUUCUUCUUUCUCAACGGUCACUUCGCUUCUCUCUUAUUUCUUCACCUUCAUCCCAUGUUCCAGUAUCAAGAUGACUACCGAAGCCGCCACCUCAUCUUUCCAGAAAACAGUGUUGUUACAUGACUGGUGGUUGAUCAAAGCCGAGCAGGAGUUCCAAGGGAAGAAAAUUGCUGUUGCCGGCUUAACUUCUCCUGAGAAAAAACCUGUUCGUGUGUUUCACUCAGCAGCAAUUACCAAAAGAUACGAUGUUUUCACUCUUCAGACAGCUGAUGGCGUCAAUGUUCUUCUACAAGGUUAUAUUAACAGGACACUCACUGUUGAAAAUGGAUUUUCUUCUCAGGUCUUUCGGCAUUUCUGUUUCGGCUUUCCUCCUGAUUGGGAAGAAUGUGGAACCAAGUUUCUGAAUAGUAACUGUGAAAGCGCGGCAGAGCCUCCGGUAUCUCAAAAUGAAUGCCGGCCUAUUUUCUUAUCAUUGCCAGUAGAUGAUGGUGUUAAUAAUUUGAAGAAUGAUGACUCAAAAGAAUCUUUCACCACUAUCGAGAUGUCGUGUAAAUGAUGUAAGUUGGGUGAAAGAUAGUGUGGUGGUACCAGCAAAGCCUUCUGGUCACCAUGUGGAUGUGGCACUAUCUUCUGAAAAGAUAGGCAGCAAGAAAAGCAAAACCAGGUCCUUUGGAAAGUUGAUGGCUAAAAGGUCAAGUAGUUUAGAAAGAAUCAGCAUCAAGAAUGAUGCAUCGGGGGAAUGCUCAGCACUCACGGAUUAUAAUGUGGGCAAUAUCACUAAAUCAAACUUUGACCAGACACUGUCUGUUAGAACUUCAGGUGUGGUACUGGCUGUAUCCUUAGAAGUGAUCUCGAGUUUAAAGAAAAAGAAAAGGGAAAAUGAGGGAAACAAGGAUGGACUGAAGAGUGGAAGUGAUUUCUCAAUGCCAUCUUUGCCUCAAGACCCUCAGGUUAUGCUAAGAUGCAUUGAAAAUAAUACUACACAAGGGCCGUUUCUUUCUAUAUCUCCAACUCGGGGAGAUUCUGAUAUUUUAAAUCAAUCUGAUAAAUGUCUCGUGGAAAACUCUGUGUUUUCCAGCAUGCGGUCAGGUGCGGAAGCAAAUAUCAUUAGUCCAUCCAUGGAAGAAACGGAGACAUUGGAUGCUAAUCUCAUUGGUUCUGGACAUAGGAAAAGCACUGCAUCUGUGACAAAUCUGAUAAACAUACCGAUACAGAAAUCGGUCUCUGGACAUUCAGUGAGGUACAAAGCCAAAAGGUUGAAAUCAGUUGAAGGUAAACCGAAGAGAAAUUCAGGCACAACUCUUGAUAUAGCAGAGGCAAUGUUGAGAGCUUCAAGAAAGAUGAAUACACUGUCAGGAAAUUCAAAAAGUAAAGAGUAGAAAGAAACAAUAGCUGUUGAGAAAGGAGGUUUGUCCAUGAAGCAAGCUAGAAGGAAAGUUAUUUUUGAUGCCGAUGGGUUGAAUCUAAGACUCAGAAGAGCAAAAGAGAGUAAAUAAAACCACAGUUUCCUUUAUCUUGGGGCAAUCAAUAAUCACCAUGGAGCAAAGCCAUUAGUUUGGGAGGGGAGGAAUGGAGAGCUUAUGGAAAGAUGGUGAUGGGAAACAAAGGGCUAAAGGAGGUAUGAAGAUUAGUUAGAAGAGUAAGGCAGAUGACAGAAGGCACAGCUUUUGGUACGGUGCAAUUGCUGGUUGCUUUCCAUGCUACUUCAAGCAUAAAUUUUUGAAGAUUAGUUAGUGAUCUCUUAUUCUCCACUCUUUUUUGUUUUUCAAAGCUUGAGCUUCUACAUAUAACAUCAUUAUCAUAUCUGAAUAGCUGAAAUAAUCUUUCAUUCAAAUUAAGAAUUACUUUUGAUCAUAGUUGUCCAGGUCUGAUUUGAUUUAG